GAUAAACGCUAGCGGCAGGCCUAAUACAUGCAAGUCGAACGGGAUCAGGGAGCUUGCUCCCUGUGAGAGUGGCGCACGGGUGCGUAACACGUAUGCAACCUACCUUCAACUGGGGGAUAGCCUUCCGAAAGGAAGAUUAAUACCGCAUAACAUAAUUGAAUGGCAUCAUUUGAUUAUCAAACGUCAGGGUUGAAGAUGGGCAUGCGUCCGAUUAGCUAGUUGGUGUGGUAACGGCAAACCAAGGCGACGAUCGGUAGGGGAUCUGAGAGGAUGACCCCCCACACUGGUACUGAGACACGGACCAGACUCCUACGGGAGGCAGCAGUAAGGAAUAUUGGUCAAUGGACGCAAGUCUGAACCAGCCAUGCCGCGUGCAGGAAGACGGUCCUCUGGAUUGUAAACUGCUUUUGUUAGGGAAGAAACCCUCGGAUGCGUCCGGGGCUGACGGUACCUAAAGAAUAAGGAUCGGCUAACUCCGUGCCAGCCGCCGCCGUAAGAC
rnacentral:rRNA from 1 species